GGAAUUGAUAAGAAUUUCCCGAUUCCGAUUCCGAUUCUGCUUAUCGAUCCGAUUCCUUAUCGAUUCUCUUAUCGAUUCUCAUUGGGUGAGAAAAUAAGUAUAAAUGUGUUUGUUUGCAUUAAAUCUCUUUAAUAUCUGAUCAGAAGUGCUUCUAGUAUUAGGAAAUUGUACAUUUUCAAAAUCAAUUGGUCUAGACGAAAAAAUAUAAGUUUGGCUUUUUAAGCCCAAAUGCCAUCAUUAUGUGCCAUAAAACUAAAAACACAGACUGAAAACAAAUGGGCCUACCUAAUAAACCGUUGGAACACACAA